rnacentral:rRNA from 1 species
AACGUAGGAAGCGAGCGUUAUCCGGAUUUACUGGGCGUAAAGCGCGUGUAGGCGGUCUUGUAAGUUGGAUGUGAAAGCUCCUGGCUUAACUGGGAGAGGUCGUUCAAUACUGCGAGACUUGAGGAUGGGAGAGGGAAGUGGAAUUCCGGGUGUAGUGGUGAAAUGCGUAGAUAUCCGGAGGAACACCAGUGGCGAAAGCGGCUUCCUGGCCCAUAACUGACGCUCAGACGCGAAAGCUAGGGGAGCGAACGGG